rnacentral:tRNA from 1 species
GGGCAGCUAGCUCAGUUGGUUAGAGUACUACCUUGACAUGGUAGGGGUCACAGGUUCGAGCCCUGUGCUGCCCACCA